rnacentral:rRNA from 1 species
CAGCAGCCGCGGUAAUACGAGGGGUGCAAGCGUUAAUCGGAAUUACUGGGCGUAAAGCGUUCGUAGGCGGUCUAUUAAGCAAGAUGUGAAAGCCCAGGGCUCAACCUUGGAACUGCAUUUUGAACUGGUAGACUAGAGUACUGUAGAGGGUGGUGGAAUUUCCAGUGUAGCGGCGAAAUGCGUAGAGAUUGGAAGGAACAUCAGUGGCGAAGGCGGCCACCUGGACAGAUACUGACUCUGAGGAACGAAAGCCUGGGGAGCGAACAGGAUUAGAUACCCUGGGAGUCCACGCCGUGAACGAUGUCAACUAGCCGUUUGUGGACUUGAUUCGUGAGUGGCGCAGCUAACGCGCUAAGUUGACCGCCUGGGGAGAACGGCCGCAAGGUCAAAACUCAAAUGAAUUGACGGGGGCCCGCACAAGCGGUGGAGCAUGUGGUUUAAUUCGAUGCAACGCGAAGAACCUUACCAUCCCUUGACAUCCACAGAAGAGACCAGAGAUGGACUUGUGCCUUCGGGAACUGUGUGACAGGUGCUGCAUGGCUGUCGUCAGCUCGUGUUGUGAAAUGUUGGGUUAAGUCCCGCAACGAGCGCAACCCCUAUCCUUAUUUGCCAGCGCGUUAUGGCGGGAACUCUAAGGAGACUGCCGGUGAUAAACCGGAGGAAGGUGGGGACGACGUCAAGUCAUCAUGGCCCUUACGGGAUGGGCUACACACGUGCUACAAUGGCGUAUACAGAGUGCUGCAAUACCGCGAGGUGGAGCGAAUCACACAAAGUACGUCGUAGUCCGGAUCGGAGUCUGCAACUCGACUCCGUGAAGUCGGAAUCGCUAGUAAUCGUAGAUCAGAAUGCUACGGUGAAUACGUUCCCGGGCCUUGUACACACCGCCCGUCACACCAUGGGAGUGGGAUGCAAAAGAAGUGGCUAGUUUAACCCCUCGGGGAGGACGGUCACCACUUUGUGUUUCAUGACUGGGGUGAAGUCGUAACAAGGUAGCCGUA